rnacentral:rRNA from 1 species
GGAGAGUUUGAUCCUGGCUCAGGAUGAACGCUAGCGGCAGGCUUAACACAUGCAAGUCGAGGGGCAGCAUAAUGGAUAGCAAUAUCUAUGGUGGCGACCGGCGCACGGGUGCGUAACGCGUAUGCAACCUACCUUUAACAGGGGGAUAACACUGAGAAAUUGGUACUAAUACCCCAUAAUAUCAUAGAAGGCAUCUUUUAUGGUUGAAAAUUCCGAUGGUUAGAGAUGGGCAUGCGUUGUAUUAGCUAGUUGGUGGGGUAACGGCUCACCAAGGCGACGAUACAUAGGGGGACUGAGAGGUUAACCCCCCACAUUGGUACUGAGACACGGACCAAACUCCUACGGGAGGCAGCAGUGAGGAAUAUUGGUCAAUGGACGCAAGUCUGAACCAGCCAUGCCGCGUGCAGGAUGACGGCUCUAUGAGUUGUAAACUGCUUUUGUACGAGGGUAAACGCAGAUACGUGUAUCUGUCUGAAAGUAUCGUACGAAUAAGGAUCGGCUAACUCCGUGCCAGCAGCCGCGGUAAUACGGAGGAUUCAAGCGUUAUCCGGAUUUAUUGGGUUUAAAGGGUGCGUAGGCGGUUUGAUAAGUUAGAGGUGAAAUUUCGGGGCUCAACCCUGAACGUGCCUCUAAUACUGUUGAGCUAGAGAGUAGUUGCGGUAGGCGGAAUGUAUGGUGUAGCGGUGAAAUGCUUAGAGAUCAUACAGAACACCGAUUGCGAAGGCAGCUUACCAAACUAUAUCUGACGUUGAGGCACGAAAGCGUGGGGAGCAAACAGGAUUAGAUACCCUGGUAGUCCACGCAGUAAACGAUGAUAACUCGUUGUCGGCGAUACACAGUCGGUGACUAAGCGAAAGCGAUAAGUUAUCCACCUGGGGAGUACGUUCGCAAGAAUGAAACUCAAAGGAAUUGACGGGGGCCCGCACAAGCGGAGGAACAUGUGGUUUAAUUCGAUGAUACGCGAGGAACCUUACCCGGGCUUGAAAGUUAGCGACGAUUCUUGAAAGAGGAUUUCCCUUCGGGGCGCGAAACUAGGUGCUGCAUGGUUGUCGUCAGCUCGUGCCGUGAGGUGUCGGGUUAAGUCCCAUAACGAGCGCAACCCCUACCGUUAGUUGCCAUCAGGUGAAGCUGGGCACUCUGGCGGGACUGCCGGUGUAAGCCGAGAGGAAGGUGGGGAUGACGUCAAAUCAGCACGGCCCUUACGUCCGGGGCUACACA